AGCCCUGCCUGAGUCUGUAAAAGGAGGGGACUGCUGCAAGCAGAGUAAAAACGACCAUGUGAAAAAAAAAAAAAAAAAAAAAAAAAAACAACUCUUUUCCUCCUCUGUUUCUUCAGUGUAUGCAUUCCUGCUGAGAACAGAAGUACCGUGUGAUUUUGGGUCAGGGUGGAAGAUGAAAAGAGAACCCCUUUGGACAUGAAACUCUGGUUGGCAUCUGCAUUUGGAUGCUGGAAGAGCUGCUACCAGCACGCCGGGCUGGCUGCCCUGGCAUGGCUGGGAUUACUUUGCUGCUACAUGCCGUUGCUCAGCGUAAGAACAAGGCACUUACAAGAAGGUGGCUUUUUGUGGCGAUAUGCAGGGCAAGCUGAAGUGCAUAAAAAUGGUUGCCUGCCAGUCCACCGCAGGAGGAAAAUAGUCUGGCAUUGUGUCACUGGAGUGCAGACAGUCAGGAGAGCCAGAAGGUUUGUCGUCAGGAACCCUCGCACGUACUCUGGGGCGGCAGCUCAAGUUUUUAAGUUACACAAAAGGCAAAUGACCACUCAGAAACACUGAGACUGCAUUGGACAACACAUGAAAUGCCUCACAAAAGUACCAGAGGCUGGUAUGGAUUACAGAAAGAGAAGGUAGAAUUGCCCUCCUACGGUCUUUGCAGGCCGCAUCUUCUAGUGUUUGGGACAAAUGUCUGCUAGGCCAUAGGUCUAGAAAGGUUUGGAAACCCUCCAGAACUCAUUUGCUGGAGAUCGUUAGUGACAUUUCAGGUAUUUUAGCAUGAAGCUCUCCAGUGAUUUGUGUAAAUCCUGAAUGCUGUCUUCCUGCCUGGAUAUUAAAAGCCUGCAUUUCUUGCCAUUAAAAUGUACAGAAUGCAGUUGUUCUGGUAUUCUGGGGAUAUGUUCUUUUAGUACCCUGUAUCCUGAGAUUGGGCAAAACAUGAAAGCAAAAUCAUAAGGAGCUGUAUUUCUGCCUGGUUCUUAGUAAGAUAAUAGAGAGUCUCAGGAUAAACAUAAGCUGCUUUGUUACUUACUUUCUUAACGUUGUUUUCUGUGUUUUGUGCAUUCUGAACAGUGCAGGCAGGAAAACAGAAAACAGUCUUUCCUCUUGAAAUACUUAAAAUUUCACUGAAAGCACAUCUCCAUGCCUUUUCAGCCCUGCAGAAACAUGUCUAAGUUUGUACAGCACUGAACAGAACAAGACCUCAGCCCAUGACUGUCGAUUUCAGGCCCUGCUGCAGUACAAAUAAUCGUCAGUAGUUUGUUGUGAGAAAGCAGAUACGUUCUCAAUCAGUGAUACCCUGAGAAAUGCAGGCAAGGUUUCAAAACAGAAAUUAGAGUCGGAGCCCGCCCAGGCUGUUGGAACUUUGCUCUGCUUCCUUUGAACCGCUCCCCUUCCAUCGGGGAGGAAAUGCAUGGCACGUACUGAGCAUACACUCAUGGGGCUGCUUGACCUGCCACUUCUGCUGUGUUUGUGCGAGUGGAAAGAAAACUUCACACUUUAAGGGUGUCCAAGUGGAUGGGAGGACAAGUGCCUGUAACCUGCUGUUUGGGAACUUUCCAAAGAAACAGGGAAGGGCAGAGCCCAUUUCUCCCACUUUUGAAGGACCAUGGCACCUGGAAAGCAACACAAUUUGUUUUGUGAAGAAAGGUAAUUUCAGUCCGGAAGUCCAUGAAUAGCUUUCUGUUUUUUGCAUUUACUGCUGCUGAGGACAUUCACUAUGUUGGGGACCAAAAGUUAGGUACUAUUUUGUCCUUGUUGGUGCCUAUUUCUUCCUGUCUGGCAUGGCCUGUGUUGGUUAGAUUUAUGUGCAUACAGAUGGAUACAAGUAAUCUCUUGGAUGACUUGAAUUCAAGCAGGAGUAAGUCCUGUGCUCUUCAAAUUUUCCAGGUUUCAUUUUCACAAGAAACCUCUUUAGGGUGUGGUUUUUGGACCCUGACAACACCCCUGAAUGUCCCUGAGACCCAACAGCAGAUCCAACCCACAGGCACGCCUGGUGCAGCAGACCUGGGGGCAGCAGCCAGACAAGAGCUCUGCCCCUGCUGCGAUGCUCAGAUGGGACGACAAUGCAGAGACUGAGGCUCAGCCAGGUCCUGAGAGCACUGCUGUCUGCUAUGACACCCAUCAGCUUCGGGGCCAGCAGGGCAACACCAGACCUGUUUCCUCUUACAGCAUCAUUUCUCUGGCUUUGGGCAUUUCUGUUCCACAUAUUUCCAUAUCAGCAUUUCUGAAAAAUUUACUCUUCUUGUAAAAGGAUGAAGCAAGUGGUUCCUCAUUCUCUUAACGAUGCACCAGCAAUGUUUGUUCUGCUGAUUUGACUGAAAAUCCAAUCUUUUCUGGCCCUAACGAAAUUGUAAUAAAAGCUUGUUUAAUAAAGUAGCAGAAAAAAUGGUGGGAAAACAGAAGCACACGAAGUACAUUUGUAAAGAUCCCGUUCCUACAAGGCUACAAGUGACAUUAUGAUCAACAGUGUUACUAGCACACAGAGGAGAGCUGUUCCCCAGUGAAACCAGCAGAAGCCCAGCACUAACUGGUUGGCAGCAUUGAGCUUGUGCCCCUGCAGUGGGAGAGGAGACUGGGUCAUUGGCUGGUGCUCACAGGGUGCUGGUUGAAAGCACUUCAUGGCAGGUGUGGCAGCUAUGUCAGGAGGUAAGAGGGCAAGGGGACAUGUUGGGGCAGAAGCUCUGCGGAUAGCUGGCCAGUCCUUCCAAAGCUCUUCUUUAAAAUCUGGCUUUAAAAUCUGCAUGCUGGAAUUGGAUCGGUGAACAUUUUUUUUGGUUGUUUUCUAUCUUGUUGUUAUUUUUAUUUUGUUUUCAGGCAAGCCUCACAUUAUUUUCCCGUAAGUUUGACCACUGCAUUGAUCACUGUUGGUUUAGCAGCAAUGCUGAAGCUUUUCAAGGCUGCACUGCUCUGUAGCAUCUAUCCAGAGCCUGCUCCUUCUGCCCUUGCAUCAGGGUCAGCUUUCAGGAGCCCAUUUGACUGCUGGCUGUCCUGGCACAUGUGUGAUGCAAGGCAUGGAGUCUUCCCUGGGCAGUGCUAAGCACUGCAUCCAUAUGAAUUUUCCCAAGGUGGGAUGAGCCUUUUCCAGGCUGGUUGAGCCCGCCUGAGGACAAUACCACAAUAUCAUUGCACAAAGGUACUCUUGUGUAGUCAUAUCAAGACCAUAAUGUCCUCAUGCUUUGCUGAGCUCUGGACUUUUCGGCCCAUGAGAGCCAUUAGUUGGUUUCUGGCUCCCUGCUGACCAGCAUUUAGAGAAAAGUCUCAUAGUGGUGUUUUCCCAAGAGAUUUCUCCUUCUAAAAUAUGCUUCAAUACAAUCUAACAAAACCAGAUGAAUCAUUUUUCUAUUGGAAGUACUAUCAGAUGAUACCUGAGAAAAUGAAUUGACUUGAUAAUGGCAUGGAAAUGCUGUUCUUUAAAAAUCAUCAGUUUACAAAAUGGAGCCUGGGGGGAGGAGGAGGGGGGAAAAUAAGUUUAGAACUUAAUUCCUCCAUGCUCAACAACUUCAUUUACUGGAAGAAUACAACAAAUCUCUUGUUUUUGCAGCACAAGGGCUUUAUACAGGUAAACACGUUGAGAAUUUUGCCUGUAGUGUUUGCCCAGCUAGACCAUAAAGAAUCCCUGUGAGCAGGGGGAGCUGGUGACACUGCACGGCCCCAAGGAUCUCUGCUUUCCUCCUGUGUCCAUCUGCCCGAGUGCCAGGCAGUGAGACCGCUGGAGUUGUGCUAUUCCUGUGAUGUCGUCCAGCACGUUUAUUCUGAGUACAGAAGCAGUGGUCUUCCAUUUUGCAAUUACAGAAACAAGAAUAUCCUGUCGAGCUUUCUUGCUUUCCUCCCUUCCCUGCUGCCACCGCUUGGUAUGGCUGUAGGGAAUAUAAAUGGAACAGGAAAUUUGACCGCGUCCAGGAUCAAUGUCAUUAAAGACACGUCUUGUUUUAAAAUCUAAUUUUAUAUAACUGCUCCGUUAUAUAAUAUGCUUUUGUUUGUCGUCUUGAUUUUUAUCGACGUAGUGUGCAUUCCCCUGGACCUUUUCAUGAAGGAAUGUUUAUACCUGUGGGCAAGUGCUAAUGGCAGUGAAAGGCUUGCAUUCAUGGGAAUAGCGUUUAGCAAUUCAUGGUUGCCAAGGUAAGCAGCAAAGGCAUGCCCUCUGCCACUCCACUGCCUCUAAAAGAAACAGUCUCUAAGGUAACAGGCUAGCACCCCUUGAGGCCAAAAAUCUUUAGCUUUUUAGACAGAAAAACACAUUAAAUAAUACCAAGAAAAGCAUUUUUUUUUUGUCCAGGCAUUUUUCCUUCACAACAGAGAAGGGGCUCAAAGUGUUCUAUUUUUGGUUCCGCGCAGGAAUUUAAUUCAGAUGCUGCCCAGUGCUUUGUGCGCUCAACACCCCUUUGACAGUUGAGUUUCAGGGGCACAUAGGACUAAUGAGCCAAGGCAUGACUGCAGUUGAAGGCUGGCGUAUCCCAGGCCUGUGGCUGUUGUUCAAGUGAAUAGGCAAUUUCCCUGAUUAGCCUGGAAUUUGCAGCAUUAUCUGGACGGUUAGUUGGCGUGAGCCCUUUUUCCAGGAUCACAGGCAAUGUGGGAGACUGAGUCACCUGAAGAAAAGAUCUGCAGAGGCAGUGCUGGCUAGAUGCUGCUUGUUAUGGGUCAGGAGAAUGGGCUUCUCUUCUCCACUUCAUUUUGCUCUGAAACCUAUUGCCAUCUUCCUUUAUCUUACUGCAGCAAGAAGGGGAGAAGAAGGUGGGUCACCUUGUUUUCCCAGUGUAAGAGUUUAAUUGGAAGAAGAAACAAACACCAGAGGUCUGUUUUAAAAAUUGAGUGCAAAGCUGGAUCACCUUGCUGAUAAUCUUGGUGUAUCAGAGCAGAGACUCAUUCCAUAUACUGGAAGGCUUGCCUUUA